rnacentral:rRNA from 1 species
GGGUGAGUAACACGUGAGUAACCUGCCCUUAACUCUGGGAUAAGCCUGGGAAACUGGGUCUAAUACCGGAUAUGACUCCUCAUCGCAUGGUGGGGGGUGGAAAGCUUUAUUGUGGUUUUGGAUGGACUCGCGGCCUAUCAGCUUGUUGGUGAGGUAAUGGCUCACCAAGGCGACGACGGGUAGCCGGCCUGAGAGGGUGACCGGCCACACUGGGACUGAGACACGGCCCAGACUCCUACGGGAGGCAGCAGUGGGGAAUAUUGCACAAUGGGCGCAAGCCUGAUGCAGCGACGCCGCGUGAGGGAUGACGGCCUUCGGGUUGUAAACCUCUUUCAGUAGGGAAGAAGCGAAAGUGACGGUACCUGCAGAAGAAGCGCCGGCUAACUACGUGCCAGCAGCCGCGGUAAUACGUAGGGCGCAAGCGUUAUCCGGAAUUAUUGGGCGUAAAGAGCUCGUAGGCGGUUUGUCGCGUCUGCCGUGAAAGUCCGGGGCUCAACUCCGGAUCUGCGGUGGGUACGGGCAGACUAGAGUGAUGUAGGGGAGACUGGAAUUCCUGGUGUAGCGGUGAAAUGCGCAGAUAUCAGGAGGAACACCGAUGGCGAAGGCAGGUCUCUGGGCAUUAACUGACGCUGAGGAGCGAAAGCAUGGGGAGCGAACAGGAUUAGAUACCCUGGUAGUCCAUGCCGUAAACGUUGGGCACUAGGUGUGGGGGACAUUCCACGUUUUCCGCGCCGUAGCUAACGCAUUAAGUGCCCCGCCUGGGGAGUACGGCCGCAAGGCUAAAACUCAAAGGAAUUGACGGGGGCCCGCACAAGCGGCGGAGCAUGCGGAUUAAUUCGAUGCAACGCGAAGAACCUUACCAAGGCUUGACAUGGACUGGAAACAUCUGGAAACAGGUGCCCCGCUUGCGGCCGGUUCACAGGUGGUGCAUGGUUGUCGUCAGCUCGUGUCGUGAGAUGUUGGGUAAGUCCCGCAACGAGCGCAACCCUCGUUCCAUGUUGCCAGCGCGUAAUGGCGGGGACCAUGGGAGACUGCCGGGGUCAACUCGGAGGAAGGUGGGGACGACGUCAAAUCAUCAUGCCCCUUAUGUCUUGGGCUUCACGCAUGCUACAAUGGCCGGUACAAAGGGUUGCGAUACUGUGAGGUGGAGCUAAUCCCAAAAAGCCGGUCUCAGUUCGGAUUGGGGUCUGCAACUCGACCCCAUGAAGUCGGAGUCGCUAGUAAUCGCAGAUCAGCAACGCUGCGGUGAAUACGUUCCCGGGCCUUGUACACACCGCCCGUCAAGUCACGAAAGU